UACGUAGGCAGCGAGCGUUGUUCGGAAUUACUGGGCGUAAAGAGUGUGUAGGUGGUGCUCUAAGUUUGGUGUGAAAUCUCCCGGCUCAACCGGGAGGGUGCAUCGAAAACUGGAGUGCUAGAGGAUGGGAGAGGCAAGCGGAAUUCCUGGUGUAGCGGUGAAAUGCGUAGAUAUCAGGAGGAACACCUGUGGUGUAGACAGCUUGCUGGACCAUUUCUGACACUGAGACACGAAAGCGUGGGGAGCAAACAGG
rnacentral:rRNA from 1 species